rnacentral:tRNA from 4 species
GCCCGGGUGGUGGAAUCGGUAGACACAAGGGAUUUAAAAUCCCUCGGCCUUUGGCUGUACGAGUUCAAGUCUCGUCCCGGGUACCA